rnacentral:rRNA from 1 species
AGAGUUUGAUCCUGGCUCAGAUUGAACGCUGGCGGCAUGCCUUACACAUGCAAGUCGAACGGCAGCACGGGGGCAACCCUGGUGGCGAGUGGCGAACGGGUGAGUAAUAUAUCGGAACGUGCCCUGGAGUGGGGGAUAACUAGUCGAAAGAUUAGCUAAUACCGCAUACGAUCUACGGAUGAAAGUGGGGGACCCGCAAGGGCCUCAUGCUCCUGGAGCGGCCGAUAUCUGAUUAGCUAGUUGGUGAGGUAAAGGCUCACCAAGGCAUCGAUCAGUAGCUGGUCUGAGAGGACGACCAGCCACACUGGGACUGAGACACGGCCCAGACUCCUACGGGAGGCAGCAGUGGGGAAUUUUGGACAAUGGGCGCAAGCCUGAUCCAGCAAUGCCGCGUGAGUGAAGAAGGCCUUCGGGUUGUAAAGCUCUUUUUGUCAGGGAAGAAAACGGU